GUACCUCACGGAAGCCGGCUUUGGCCCUGCGGCUGCUACCGUCGCCGCGGAGAAAUUGUUGGAUCUGGCAGUCUAGGAAUGAAUCUCCUCUCAGCCUUUAAGCUCACCUGGUCAGAAUCCUUGGAUGAGCCUGUGGGACCGUUCCUCCUAGCCCGGUGGUUUGGAACCAGUGGCUUUGGGACUGUAAGAGGAUGGACAAAGGUAGUAUGAGGCCGGGACAGCUCCCCAAAUGCUCGGGCGCCAAGCAUCUGCUGAUUCCACUCUGUGCCUGGCACGUGUGUCUUUCGGUCCUGGCUAGGCCUUGCCACCUCCCCCUGGGCCAGCACCACCCAUGUACCUGUCGGCAGAGCCACAGUUGACUGACUUGCUGUUGAGCUGCUGCUCUUUAGCACGGCUGCAUUUUGAUGGCAGAGGGAGCAGUUAUGCCCAGAGCCCAGCGUGUCGGCAUCACCAGUCUGACCUGAGCACCAUGUGCUGCACGACAUGACACGUGGCACCGGGGGAACUGCCCAGCGUGGAAGGUCUGGGCCAGGUCUGAGCCCAGAUGGGAUCUGGAUGGCCAAGGAACUCUACCUUAAAACCUCAAGUGUCAAGGAGGCAGGGGAGGGGCCAAGAGGGCUGGCAGGGGAAGGGGGCUGGGGAGGGGUCCCAUUUGCAGAGGCUCUAGGAUCUUAGGAGGCCCGAAUCCACCAUUUCUCUCUUGCUAGAUUCUCAGGGGCUGCUAGAUUCAUCCCUGAUGGCAUCAGGCACUGCCAGCCGCUCAGAGGAUGAGGAGUCACUGGCAGGGCAGAAGCGAGCCUCCUCCCAGGCCUUGGGCACCAUCCCUAAACGGAGAAGCUCCUCCAGGUUCAUCAAGAGGAAGAAGUUCGAUGAUGAGCUGGUGGAGAGCAGCCUGGCAAAAUCUUCUACCCGGGCAAAGGGGGCCAGUGGGGUGGAACCAGGGCGCUGUUCGGGGAGUGAACCCUCCUCCAGUGAGAAGAAGAA
rnacentral:lncRNA from 1 species